UACGGAGGAUGCGAGCGUUAUCCGGAAUUAUUGGGUUUAAAGGGAGCGCAGACGGGUCGUUAAGUCAGCUGUGAAAGUUUGGGGCUCAACCUUAAAAUUGCAGUUGAUACUGGCGUCCUUGAGUGCGGUUGAGGUGUGCGGAAUUCGUGGUGUAGCGGUGAAAUGCUUAGAUAUCACGAAGAACUCCGAUUGCGAAGGCAGCACACUAAGCCGUAACUGACGUUCAUGCUCGAAAGUGUGGGUAUCAAACAGG
rnacentral:rRNA from 1 species